CGGGGAAUGAGCGGGGAAUGGCCGGGGAAUGAGCGGGGAAUGAGUGGGGAAUGGCCGGGGAAUGAGCGGGGAAUGAGCGGGGAAUGAGCGGGGAAUGAGCGGGGAAUGAGCGGGGAAUGAGCGGGGAAUGAGCGGGGAAUGGCCGGGGAAUGGUCGGGAAAUGACCGAAAUCGGGGAAAAACCUAACAUUUUGAAGAUUUUUGAUUAAAUAUUUUCAUGAAUUGUUUUCGUUGCGUUAUGGCAAAUGUAGCAUUGAAGUAAAUCGAAAUUACAGUAAUAGGAUUAGGUGACCGAAGCUAUGUUGUUUGUGUAAAUGUCGUUUCGUUUCGUUGCGUUAUGGCAAGUAAUCAGCCGCACCACACAUUGUAAGUACAACGCAAGACAAUAGACCUUGUUAUAUAGUUUUUGUCAAAGUUCAAUUUCUCUGUUCGACGAUUGAUCAAAACCGUAUCACGUAACAAUAGAGAGGUUAAGAUACCCCGAAAGCACCACUGCCAAUUUCUUCAACAUGUUUUAGUGAUUCCCAACUAAAUGUGGGUAAACAGUGAUCUAUUUUUCGCCUUUUUAUUAGUGAAGGAAAUUUAAAGCUUCCCUGCAAUCCAGACAUUUUGAAUGUCGGCAACCAAAAGCUGUUUAUGGUCGUCCGUUUGUUUCAAAAUUCGCUAAAUUCAAUUCGCACUCGCUAAAUUCAAUUCGCACUCGCUAAAUUCAAUUCGCACUCGCUAAAUUCAAUUCGCACUCGCUAAAUUCAAUUCGCACUCGCUAAAUUUGCAUUCGCAC